CCCUUAGAUGCUCUGGGUCGCACGCGCGCUACACUGGUCGAUGCAACGAGUUUCUUUCCUUGGCCGACAGGCCUGGGCAAUCUUUGAACAUCGAUCGUGAUCGGGAUAGAUUCUUGUAAUUUUUGAUCUUAAACGAGGAAUUCCUAGUAAACGCAAGUCAUCAGCUUGCAUUGAUUACGUCCCUGCCCUUUGUACACACCGCCCGUCGCACCUACCGAUUGAAUGGUCCGGUGAAAUCUCCGGACUGGCGUGAGUCGGAGCAAUCUGACAAACGCCGGAAAGUUGAUUAAACCUUACCAUUUAGAGGAAGGUGAAGUCGUAACA
rnacentral:rRNA from 1 species